rnacentral:rRNA from 1 species
GAUGAACGCUAGCUACAGGCUUAACACAUGCAAGUCGUGGGGCAUCAUGAUGUAGUAAUACAUUGAUGGCGACCGGCGCACGGGUGAGUAACGCGUAUCCAACCUACCCUCCACUCAAGUAUAGGCUUCCGAAAGGGAGAUUAAUCCUUGAUAUCGUCAUUCUCUCUCCUGUUAGAAUGAUAAAAGGACAUCGUUUCGGUAGAGGAUGGGGAUGCGUUCCAUUAGGUAGUAGGUGGUUUAACAGGCCACCUAGCCGAUGAUGGAUAGGGGUUCUGAGAGGAAUAUCCCCCACACUGGUACUGAGAUACGGACCAGACUCCUACGGGAGGCAGCAGUGAGGAAUAUUGGUCAAUGGGCGCAAGCCUGAACCAGCCAUGUAGCGUGAAGGAUGACAGUUUUUUUGAUUGUAAACUUCUUUUCUGUGCGAUUAAAGUGUGGCAUUUAUGCCAUAUUGCAGUAUCUCA